CCUACGGGAGACAGCAGUGGGGGAUAUUGCACAAUGGGGGAAACCCUGAUGCAGCGACGCCGCGUGUGGGAAGACGGUCCUCUGGAUUGUAAACCACUGUACCCGGGGACGAAGGUGACGGAACCUGGGGAGGAGGCUCCGGUUAACUACGAGCCAGAAGCGGCGGUAAUACGUAGGGAGCGGGGGUUGUCCGGAAUUACGGGGUGUAAGGGGAGCGUAGGGGGUACUGAAAGCUGGGUGGAAAAUCUACGGGUUAAACCGGUAGUCGCACUUAAAACUGGAGUUCUUGAGUGAAGUAGAGGUAGGCGGAAUUCCUAGUGUAGCGGUGAAAUGCGUAGAUAUUAGGAGGAACACCAGUGGCGAAGGCGGCCUGCUGGGCUUUAACUGACGCUGAGGCUCGAAAGUGUGGGGAGCAAACAGGAUUAGAUACCCCAGUAGUC
rnacentral:rRNA from 1 species